GCUUGCACUACUGUCCGGCGAGUGGCGAACGGGUGAGUAAUAUAUCGGAACGUACCGAGUAAUGGGGGAUAACCAAUCGAAAGAUUGGCUAAUACCGCAUACGUCCUACGGGAGAAAGCGGGGGAUCGCAAGACCUCGCGUUAUUCGAGCGGCCGAUAACUGAUUAGCUAGUUGGUGGGGUAAAGGCCUACCAAGGCGACGAUCAGUAGCGGGUCUGAGAGGACGAUCCGCCACACUGGGACUGAGACACGGCCCAGACUCCUACGGGAGGCAGCAGUGGGGAAUUUUGGACAWUGGGGGCAACCCUGAUCCAGCCAUGCCGCGUGUAUGAAGAAGGCCUUCGGGUUGUAAAGUACUUUUGUUAGGGAAGAAAAGGGAAGUGCUAAUACCACUUUUUGCUGACGGUACCUAAAGAAUAAGCACCGGCUAAYUACGUGCCAGCAGCCGCGGWAAUACGUAGGGUGCGAGCGUUAAUCGGAMUUACUGGGCGUAAAGCGAGCGCAGACGGUUAUUUAAGCAGGAUGUGAAAUCCCCGGGCUUAACCUGGGAACUGCGUUCUGAAYUGGAUAGCUAGAGUGUGU
rnacentral:rRNA from 1 species